UGUAGCUCAGCGGAUAGAGCAUCCCUUUGACUAAGGGGAAGGUCGCGGGUUGAAUCCCGCCAGGAU
rnacentral:tRNA from 1 species